UAGCUUUGCCGUUCCCAUAGCCAGGACUCCAAUUUAACCCACCGUAGCGAGGAUUCCCGCACCCACAACGUGCUCAUCAUCGCACUGAUCGGCGCAGCUCUGCCCGCUACCAUCUCGGCUGUCCAACACGCAACUUCAAACUGCCUGGAACCGUUUCUUGGCCGUGCCCCUGCUGUCUAUCGCCAAGUCACGCUACCCCCCACCCCCUACGCUUCUACUAGCGCCGCCUGUGACGAGCGUCAUCAGCCAUACCACCUGGGAGCUGCCUGCGUCAGCAACAUCUGGCAGAUCACCUAUAAAAGUCCAACGCCGUCACGCGCCAACCUGUGGGCUCGGUGGCUGUGCCAUGAUACAGUCCACUAAACCGCUGCUGUUUAAUAGGCAGCGCAGAAAUUCAAUAAGAGGAAGGAAAGACGACCCAUGGGGAGGAGGCAACCGGCUGUUAGCAGAUUCUCCCCGGAAAUAUUGCCUACGACUGCGGGUGCCUUUGCUAGACUUGAUGCCCCAAGAGCACCAACGCCAUUUCGGAAAAGACGGACCCUGUUUGGCCCCUGUGUAGAGUGCUGUGGGGGAGUGCUGUGGGGGAAAAAGGAGUGCUGUGGGGGAAAAGCCCGAGCAACCAUGUCCUUUUACGUGAAGCAUACUAGGCUAAGCGGCCGGCGAAUCUAUUAAGCCCGAGUGGCUGACAGUCCGAGUGAUUGAUUACUAUUGAACGCUUUUCGAGUGUCCGGCUGUGUCAGUCUUGUAAGAUGGCCCGUUAAUUGCUUUUAGGUUCCCGUUUCGUGCUGCUUUCCUCCUACUCGCUCCUUCCCACAGCUAGCACGUAGUGGGCGCCAGUUACUAAAUUUUCCACCUCUGUCAAAUAUCAAAGAUGCAGGCGCGGUGACACUUGGCAUUGGUCCCAUGAGUUGACUCUGCUUUCAUGUUGUUAUUGUUGCUCUGGCUUUUAGUUUUAAAUUCUUUUAUUUUGUAUUGAAACAUGCGUCUCUCUUUGCUCUUUUUGGUCUUCCCGUCUCCACUAAUUACAUUACACAGUUAUGCAGUACAUAAAACACAACACAACAUUUCAGACUCACAAAAGGAGAAAGAUAUAGAUAGGAACCUGCUACAGGCUACAAAUGUAAGCGUAAGCUCGUGGUCAUCAAGUCGUAAAUGGAUUCAAUAACAAGACAAAGACGGCAAUUUCAUCAUCGCAGUGCGACAAAGUUUCGAACCUAAUAUAGUAAAGGCCAAUUUAUUCGCUAGUGCGGUUAGAGCCGACCUUGACAUGCGAGAAUUGGUUGCACAGUGAUGAACGUAGAGUAGUUUGAUAAAAAAAUUAUGUGCUGAUUUAGCGGUAAAUACGACAGGUAUGCGUUAGCAUUACGUGGCACCUUUUUGAGACGGUGAUCCGGAGUGAAGCAGACCACACGCACGCACAUGCAGACAAACACCUGUGCGCGCGAGCGCUCUUGUAAGCUCUCCCCUACUUACCUCUUCAACUUGACCGUCUACCCGCAGUUUACACACGCACACUUACACACACACUUUUUGUUUCACUUUUUUAUACUCCAAAUGCUGACGCAAUAUAAUAUAUUACCGGUAGCUGCGGUCGACUACGUAGCGUAGAUACCGCAGCCGCUGCAGGGUGCCGCCAUGAGUGCAUUGCGGCUCGCUGAGGACAACCGCGUUUGGCUUACGUUUAGUACAUCGUAGGAACCAAAAUUAGGAGUCGUGGCGUCUACGUCAGUGAUGCGAACUCUAGAUAUAUAUCCCUAGAUCUAGGGGC